CACGUCAUCGAAAUGUUGAACUUCCUAAGACUCUAAUCAAGUGACAAUUCAUGAUUAUGCUCGACUAUAAAACUAAUCCAUGAUAAUUAUUCAUCAUAUUCAUACCUAAAGCAAAAAGUAGUCAUAUUUUAUUAAAACAAGAGGUUUAACCAUUUUAAGCUAAUUUAAACAAAAUGUAAAAAUCCUAAUCCCAACAGAAACGGUGUGAGAAAUCUCAGGUCCAAACGUGCCCGUUCACCGCCGGACCACUCGUCGACGACUCCAUUCCGCCGCACACAUCAAUUUCCUCUGCCCAGUGACAUAGCGGAACUACUAGCAGAAGUGAGAAGUCGACUAGCGCCGUCACUGUUAGGACUGAGAGGGAUCUGGAAAGUUUAAAUGUGCCACCUAAUACUGGAGCAUGAAUUCUUUCUGGAAGUAUUAUUCUGAAGAGGAGGUUGCACCCUUUCCAACUAUAUUCAUUGGAGGAAACCAUGAUGCAUCCAAUUACCUUUGGGAGCUGCUCCUUUCAUUAGUUUAGUGACGAUAUUUCCAUUGACGGUGCAGAUGAUAUGGUCCGAACUCAAAGAGAUUGAUCUUCAGAAACUUAGAAGGGUUAAUGUAAAGCUCAUGUUUUGGGGAUUUAUACGGAUUGAUGAUUCUACCACAGGAAAGAGACCAAGUUCAAUUGAUCUUUUUACCUUUGACGCUGCUGCUGGCUUAUCCAAAUUAUUCCAGAGAAGUUUAUAUCUUUCCCUGUAAGCAUGAUUUGUACUUAGACAUAUUUACUUUAAAUUUGUGUUUGGAAUAAUUUGGUUGGCAUAUACUACAGGUUAUUGAAAGCAGUUGUACACCUAUCCUGCUGAAAUUAUUUUGCUAUUGCUUAGGGCUCUAGCUGUUCUUUCAUCAUAUUGUAGCUUCAUUUGUGAAACUAUAGCUAGGCAAGUGGAAGGUCAUAAGUCUUGGAUUCAGGACAAAAGUCUUUUCAGUACUGAAGUGACGCAAUGUCUUGGCUCACCUAGUUGUAUAUUUAGCUCCAAUGAUGAUAAAAUUUUCUCUAGAGUUUUUACCC